rnacentral:rRNA from 1 species
UACGAAGGGGGCUAGCGUUGUUCGGAAUCACUGGGCGUAAAGGGCGCGUAGGCGGGAUGGCAAGUCGGUCGUGAAAUCCUUCGGCUCAACCGAAGAACGUCGGCCGAUACUGCCGUUCUUGAGGGAUGCAGAGGAGAUUGGAAUUCCCGGUGUAGCGGUGAAAUGUGUAGAGAUCGGGAGGAACACCGGUGGCGAAGGCGGGUCUCUGGGCAUCUCCUGACGCUGAGGCGCGAAAGCGUGGGGAGCAAACGGG